rnacentral:lncRNA from 1 species
ACUCACAGGUAUCAUUGCUACGACUUGCGUAGGAGCGGGCCGUGGGGAAAAGGGCCAGGGCUGAGAGCCGGGGCCCCUUUAGUCUUCUUCACGAUGCUCAGAUGUUUUAAAAGGGUCUGUGCUCGCAUCUUACUUAAGUAAUAAAGGUUAUUUUUAAAAAAGUACCCGGGGCUGGGUAUUAGUUUUCUAUGGCCACCAUAAUAAAUUAUCUCAAACUUAACGACUUAAAACAACACAGAUUUAUCACCUCCUAGUUCUGGAGGUCAGAAGUCCAACACAGGUCUCCCUGGGCUAAAGUCAAGGUGUGGAGGCUCCAGGGCAGAACCCAGCUCCUCGUCUUUUCCGGUUCACAGAGCCUGUUCUCCGCAUUCCUUGAUAUGUGGCCCCUUUGUCCACCUGCCAGCCGGUGGCACUGGGCCGAAUCCUCAAAUGGCCACCUCUCUGCUUCUCUCUUGUGCUUCCUUUUCCCGUGUCAAGGCCCGGUGAUCACUCUGAUGGGAAGGUCCCUGGACAUCUUCAGGUCAGCAGACUAGUAAUCCUGAUUCCAUCUGCAGCCGCCACUCCUCUUUACCACAUAAAGAACGGAAAGCACUUUGAAAAAAGUGCUGGACAUAGAGCUAAGACUCCUGAAAUACUUAUUCCCGCUGCUGCCCAUCCCUGACCACAACCACAGUGGCCACCUCCCCUGUUAACGUAAUUAAUUAUUUUGUGAGUCAUCUCAGUUUCUCCUGACAAGUUCCUUUGACUUCCGUGGUCAGCUGGGGACCCUCUGGGAGGUGAUCCGUACAUGGGAUGGAAUUCUUGCGAGCAUCUGUUGGAGGGAGAGACCUCGUCUUUCAUUCAGAUGUCUUGAGGAUUUCUGGGCCGGUUAUUUUAGUUUUAUCCUUUUGUCCUUCAUACCCACCCACCCACCAAUCCUCCUAGCCAGAUAACCAGCCUGCUCUCCACUCACCCAUCCAUCUAUCCAUCCACCAUCUACCCAUCCACCCACCCACUCAUCUACCUACCCAUCCACCCACCUACCCAUCCAUCCAGCCAGCCAGCCCUCCCUCCCUCCAUCCCUCCCUCCCUCUAUGCUUCCUACACCCUAAUCUAUUUCUCUAUUUUUUGGUCUCAAAUGUUGUCUCAUUUUCUUCUGUGUGCUAUAUAAAAAGCAACUUUUCCUAUGUAAGAAAACAUUAAACGUGAGGCAAAAGUGAGAUUUCCUUAGAUGAGCUACCUUUCUUUAAGAUUGUUGAUUAGUACCUAGCGUCACUGGGAAAUUAGAGAAAUGUUGGCAUGAGAAGUGGAUCUGUUGUUUUUGGAAGGAGAAUAUUUUACCCUGUACUCUUACAGGUAUAUUUGUAAAUAUACAGUAUUAAAGUAAUUAUAUGAGCAAGGAAAAAUUACUUAAGUAUGCUUCUCCCUCUCAGUGUGUGCGCAUCAGUCCUUGCAGUUACACACGUUUCCGUUAACCGUAUUUUCAGAAGAGUAACUCAGGUACACACCAUGCAUAGUUGCCAUUGCCUAAAAAAGUAAUACGAGGGAAAAGGAUGCAUCAUCCACACUAGCGACCCCUAGUCUUUCGGUGUGUGUGCUUUCCUCCUUUGGACUGUGAUGGAUCUGUAGUGCUUCUUUAACUGAUUCCCGCCAGACUUCAAACUCCGUUUCUCUGUGGUUAGUUGGUGCAGCCUUUGCUUCCUCUCACCCGGCAUAGCUUCUCUUGGUAAACUACACACAUACACAGACACACACACACACGUUCCUGCGACCCUGCUGGGUGUUUUGUUUCAAUACAUGUUACUCCCCCUCUUUGACACAUGCUUAUUAUUGAAUUAUUCAGAUAACACAGAGAUGCAGAAACAUAAGACAAUUGCCAUUAAUGCUGUGAUUUACUUUUUCCUCACUCCCAGAGGCAGCUUCUUGUUUUUGUGGAAUCGUGACCGUGGUCUUAAAAUUCCAUGGAAGUAAAACACACACACGGGAAAGUGGGCAUGACAUACUCUUGCUGCUGGCUCAAGGUGCACAAGCUGAGCACAUCCAGGCAGUCGGUAUGUGGAUCAGGACGGAAAACAUGACUCUCAAGCCCCCUUCUGCCUUCAUUCAGUCAUGGCCCCCCAGACCCCACAGAGGCUCCCCACUUUUGGACUUUGAACCACAAAGAUGAGUUUGUCUUUGGUUUUAUAUAAACGGAAUCACCAUCUCUGAUUGGACUCCUAACAGUGGGCACUCCUGUGUGUCUGGCUUCUUUCUUUCAACAUUUUGCUUAUGAGGUUUAUGCUAACAUUGCAUCCAUUUUUAUUUAUUUAUUUAUUUCUACAUUUUUGGUGGCAUAUGGAAGUUCCCAGGCUAGGGGUCAAACCCAUGCCAUAGCCACAAUCUGACCUGUGCAGUGACACCACCAGAUCCUUAGCCCGUUGCACCAUAGGAGAACUCUGCAUCCCGUUUUUAUUUUAUUUUUAAUUAUUUUUUCUGCUGUACAGCGUGGGGACCAAGUUAUACAUACUUUUUCCUCCCACUGUUGUGUGGCGAUGUAGUAUCUAGACAUUGCAUCCAGUUUUAGAUCGUCUGUUCUUAUGGUUGUGGAGUAUUCCAGUCUAUGAAUGGGUUACAAAUUAAGUUGUGAUUGCAUUUCAAAAAAAUGUGAAUACUUGGCUUUUCAUGUAAAGUUCUAACCAAAUAUCUCCUCUCAUCUUGGCACUCUUCUUAUCAUCACCAUUUUACAUAGGAACAUAUAAUAUUCAGUGCAGGGGUUUUGCAUCUAUUUAGCCAGUAUCCUAUGUUGAACAGUUAGAAGGUGUCUACUUCCGUUGUUUUUGUUUUUUGCUGUUUCAGGUGGCACUGCAGGGAACAGUGUCUGUACCUGUGCACGGGCCAUUGUGUGUGUGUGUGUGUGCACGCGCGCGCAUGUGCGUUUGUGUGUUCAGAUGGUUUUGUUUAGUCAGGAUCCCUGAAGGGGAACGGCCAAUUCAAAGGUUCGACCAUCACAGUGUCUCUCGACUUGUGCUGUCAGAUCCCUUCCGAGAGGACCGGGUCCCUUCCCCCAUCCCUCCGCCACAGCCGGCAAAUGGGGGUGCCUCUCUUGUCACACACUUAUCGUCUUGGCAGAAGAUCUGUGUAGUCUUCGGCUUCACGUUUCCCGCAGCCAACGGAUUCGACUGGACAGCCCUCACCCCUGUACCCAGUUGGUGGUCCAGAGACCUCAGAGCUUACUUUUUUUUUGCUUUUUCAGGCCCCCUGGGAACUUCCAUAUGCCAUGGUUUGCAGCCCUAAAAAGACCAAAAAAAAUAAAUAAAUAAAUAAAAUAAAAAAUAAAUAAAUUGAGCCCCAUGGAACAAACAGAUGUUAAGAUACAACCUUUAGAGACAACCUAUUUGGAUUCAAAUAGCCAAAUUAAAGUAAAAAACCUAUUAAUAAAUUAAUGAAAUUAAUAAACCCCGUCUUGUCUUCAGCUUCCUCAUCUGGAGAAUGGGAGCGGUACCUGCCUCAGAGUCCUGGGGACUGACUGGCAUAAUGCAUGUAAAGUAAUUUGAACUGUGUCAUGCAUGUAUUAUACGUCCCUUAAGUGUUGACUGUUUAAAAUUUUUUAACUUCUUAUUUUGAAUCAUUAGAGAUUCAUAGAAAACUACCAAAAA